GGGUUGUGAGGUUAAGCGACUAAGCGUACACGGUGGAUGCCCUGGCAGUCAGAGGCGAUGAAGGACGUGCUAAUCUGCGAAAAGCGUCGGUAAGGUGAUAUGAACCGUUAUAACCGGCGAUGUCCGAAUGGGGAAACCCAGUGCAAUUCGUUGCACUAUCGUUAACUGAAUACAUAGGUUAACGAGGCGAACCGGGGGAACUGAAACAUCUAAGUACCCCGAGGAAAAGAAAUCAACCGAGAUUCCCCAGUAGCGGCGAGCGAACGGGGAGCAGCCCAGAGUCUGAAUCAGCUUGUGUGUUAGUGGAACGGUCUGGAAAGUCCGACGGUACAGGGUGAUAGUCCCGUACACCAAAAUGCACAGGCUGUGAACUCGAAGAGUAGGGCGGGACACGUGGUAUCCUGUCUGAAUAUGGGGGGACCAUCCUCCAAGGCUAAAUACUCCUGACUGACCGAUAGUGAACCAGUACCGUGAGGGAAAGGCGAAAAGAACCCCGGCGAGGGGAGUGAAAAAGAACCUGAAACCGUGUACGUACAAGCAGUGGGAGCACCUUCGGGUGUGACUGCGUACCUUUUGUAUAAUGGGUCAGCGACUUAUAUUCUGUAGCAAGGUUAACCGUAUAGGGGAGCCGCAGGGAAACCGAGUCUUAACUGGGCGUUAAGUUGCAGGGUAUAGACCCGAAACCCGGUGAUCUAGCCAUGGGCAGGUUGAAGGUUGGGUAACACUAACUGGAGGACCGAACCGACUAAUGUUGAAAAAUUAGCGGAUGACUUGUGGCUGGGGGUGAAAGGCCAAUCAAACCGGGAGAUAGCUGGUUCUCCCCGAAAGCUAUUUAGGUAGCGCCUCGUGAAUUCAUCUUCGGGGGUAGAGCACUGUUUCGGCUAGGGGGUCAUCCCGACUUACCAACCCGAUGCAAACUACGAAUACCGAAGAAUGUUAUCACGGGAGACACACGGCGGGUGCUAACGUCCGUCGUGAAGAGGGAAACAACCCAGACCGCCAGCUAAGGUCCCAAAGUCAUGGUUAAGUGGGAAACGAUGUGGGAAGGCACAGACAGCCAGGAUGUUGGCUUAGAAGCAGCCAUCAUUUAAAGAAAGCGUAAUAGCUCACUGGUCGAGUCGGCCUGCGCGGAAGAUGUAACGGGGCUAAACCAUGCACCGAAGCUGCGGCAGCGACACUAUGUGUUGUUGGGUAGGGGAGCGUUCUGUAAGCCUGCGAAGGUGUGCUGUGAGGCAUGCUGGAGGUAUCAGAAGUGCGAAUGCUGACAUAAGUAACGAUAAAGCGGGUGAAAAGCCCGCUCGCCGGAAGACCAAGGGUUCCUGUCCAACGUUAAUCGGGGCAGGGUGAGUCGACCCCUAAGGCGAGGCCGAAAGGCGUAGUCGAUGGGAAACAGGUUAAUAUUCCUGUACUUGGUGUUACUGCGAAGGGGGACGGAGAAGGCUAUGUUAGCCGGGCGACGGUUGUCCCGGUUUAAGCAUGUAGGCUGGUUGUCCAGGCAAAUCCGGAUAAUCAAGGCUGAGGUGUGAUGACGAGGCACUACGGUGCUGAAGUAACAAAUGCCCUGCUUCCAGGAAAAGCCUCUAAGCAUCAGGUAACAUCAAAUCGUACCCCAAACCGACACAGGUGGUCAGGUAGAGAAUACCAAGGCGCUUGAGAGAACUCGGGUGAAGGAACUAGGCAAAAUGGUGCCGUAACUUCGGGAGAAGGCACGCUGGUGUGUAGGUGAAGCCCCUGCGGGUGGAGCUGAGACCAGUCGAAGAUACCAGCUGGCUGCAACUGUUUAUUAAAAACACAGCACUGUGCAAACACGAAAGUGGACGUAUACGGUGUGACGCCUGCCCGGUGCCGGAAGGUUAAUUGAUGGGGUUAUCCGUAAGGAGAAGCUCUUGAUCGAAGCCCCGGUAAACGGCGGCCGUAACUAUAACGGUCCUAAGGUAGCGAAAUUCCUUGUCGGGUAAGUUCCGACCUGCACGAAUGGCGUAAUGAUGGCCAGGCUGUCUCCACCCGAGACUCAGUGAAAUUGAACUCGCUGUGAAGAUGCAGUGUACCCGCGGCAAGACGGAAAGACCCCGUGAACCUUUACUAUAGCUUGACACUGAACAUUGAGCCUUGAUGUGUAGGAUAGGUGGGAGGCUUUGAAGCGUGGACGCCAGUCUGCGUGGAGCCAACCUUGAAAUACCACCCUUUAAUGUUUGAUGUUCUAACGUUGGCCCCUGACCGGGGUUGCGGACAGUGUCUGGUGGGUAGUUUGACUGGGGCGGUCUCCUCCCAAAGCGUAACGGAGGAGCACGAAGGUUAGCUAAUCCUGGUCGGACAUCAGGAGGUUAGUGCAAUGGCAUAAGCUAGCUUGACUGCGAGCGUGACGGCGCGAGCAGGUGCGAAAGCAGGUCAUAGUGAUCCGGUGGUUCUGAAUGGAAGGGCCAUCGCUCAACGGAUAAAAGGUACUCCGGGGAUAACAGGCUGAUACCGCCCAAGAGUUCAUAUCGACGGCGGUGUUUGGCACCUCGAUGUCGGCUCAUCACAUCCUGGGGCUGAAGUAGGUCCCAAGGGUAUGGCUGUUCGCCAUUUAAAGUGGUACGCGAGCUGGGUUUAGAACGUCGUGAGACAGUUCGGUCCCUAUCUGCCGUGGGCGCUGGAGAAUUGAGGGGGGCUGCUCCUAGUACGAGAGGACCGGAGUGGACGCAUCACUGGUGUUCGGGUUGUCAUGCCAAUGGCACUGCCCGGUAGCUAAAUGCGGAAGAGAUAAGUGCUGAAAGCAUCUAAGCACGAAACUUGCCCCGAGAUGAGUUCUCCCUGAGACUUUAAGUCUCCUGAAGGAACGUUAAAGACGAUGACGUUGAUAGGCCGGGUGUGUAAGCGCAGCGAUGCGUUGAGCUAACCGGUACUAAUGAACCGUGAGGCUUAACCUUACAACGCCGAAG
rnacentral:rRNA from 1 species